AGAGUUUGAUCCUGGCUCAGAACGAACGCUGGCGGCGCGUCUUAAACAUGCAAGUCGAACGAUCUGUAGCAAUACAGGGAGUGGCGGACGGGUGAGGAACACGUAGGAAUCUACCUUGAAGAGCGGGACAACUUUGGGAAACCGGGGCUAAUACCGCAUAGUACAGAGAUGUUAAAGGGCUAGCAAUAGUCGCUUCGAGAUGAGCCUGCGGUCUAUCAGCUUGUUGGUGAGGUAAUGGCUCACCAAGGCUACGACGGAUAGCCGGUCAGAGAGGAUGAUCGGCCACACUGGCACUGAGACACGGGCCAGACUCCUACGGGAGGCAGCAGUUAAGAAUCUUGCGCAAUGGGGGAAACCCUGACGCAGCGACGCCGCGUGAAGGAUGAAGGCUUCGGGUUGUAAACUUCGGUAGACUGGGAAGAAGAAAUACGUUCGUUGAGGGCGUAUAGUGACGGUACCAGUCUGAAGCCCCGGCUAAUUACGUG
rnacentral:rRNA from 1 species